rnacentral:rRNA from 1 species
UACGGAGGGUGCGAACGUUGCUCGGAAUCAUUGGGCGUAAAGCGCACGUAGGCGGCGGCGUAAGCGGAAUGUGAAAGCCCAGGGCUCAACCCUGGAAGUGCAUCCCGAACUGUGUCGCUUGAAUCUCGGAGGGGGACAGAGAAUUCCCGGUGUAGAGGUGAAAUUCGUAGAUAUCGGGAGGAAUACCAGUGGCGAAGGCGCUGUCCUGGACGAAGAUUGACGCUGAGGUGCGAAGGCUAGGGGAGCAAACGGG